rnacentral:rRNA from 1 species
UACGUAGGGGGCGAGCGUUGUCCGGAAUUAUUGGGCGUAAAGGGCUCGUAGGCGGUCUGUCACGUCGGGAGUGAAAACUCGGGGCUCAACCCCGAGCCUGCUUCCGAUACGGGCAGACUAGAGGUAUGCAGGGGAGAAUGGAAUUCCUGGUGUAGCGGUGAAAUGCGCAGAUAUCAGGAGGAACACCGGUGGCGAAGGCGGUUCUCUGGGCAUUACCUGACGCUGAGGAGCGAAAGUGUGGGGAGCGAACAGG